rnacentral:lncRNA from 1 species
ACUUCCUGCUUGCUUAUCUCAUAUAAGCCCUAGACCACCAGAGAUCAGGGCCUGAUAUUCUGGAAUUGUUCCUGGUCAGUGCCCGUUUAAGUAAAUAGAUCUGCCUCCAAAUCCUGAGCGUCAUUUUGGUGCUUUUGCUUGCCAUUGCCUCAGGUGUGUUGUCCAGGAAGACUGACCAUGCUGACCUCUUUGGUCACUGGUCAUGGCCCUUGCAGACAGAGCAAGGACCUCUCCAGGUCCCAACAGGAAGGUAUGCCCUUGAGAUUUCUCAAGUCCCCUCAGAGGUCUGGAGGAGGAUUCCUGGCUCCCUGCUUGAGCGGGUCACAUCAGACUCCAAAAGGAGGAGGAUACAAUCUGUCUGUCUGCCCACCUGAUUCUGAAUUCACCUGCCACAUCUGUCAUCACAAGAGGCCAAGGAAUGUCACCUGUUCGGUGAGCAGAGCCAAGGAGAAGAUGCUCAAGCAGGCCCAGGAAGCUGAAGGAAAUUGCAAGAGGGAAAGUCAUGACAUCCUCCAGCACAGGAGCCAGCUGUAG